rnacentral:rRNA from 1 species
GUGUAGUCUAGUUUGCAGAUUAAAGUCAAGGUAAGAAUUCUUUGAUCUUCUGGGGGACGAUAAGACCCUAGAAGCUUUAAAAAAGAAAAUUUUUUAGUUGUGGUGUGGGUUUUUUAUUGGGGCGGUACUAGUGUUUUAACUACUAGGAGUAAAGGUUGGUCCUUUAUAUAAAGAUAAUUCGGUUAAGUUACUCUAGGGGUAACAGUGCGGUAUUUUUGGAGAGGUCUUAUCUAUAAAAAUGUUCGCAACCUCGAUGUUGAAUUAAGAUUUCUAUGUGGAGUAGUAAAUACAGUAGAAGGUUUGUUCAACCUUUAUAAUCUUACAUG